CCUACGGGUGGCAGCAGUGGGGAAUAUUGCACAAUGGGGGAAAGCCUGAUGCAGCAACGCCGCGUGAAUGAAGAAGUCUUUCGAGAUGUAAACUUCUUUCAGCAGGGAAGAAGAUGACGGUAACUGAGUAAGAAGCACCGGCUAACUACGUGCCAGCAGCCGCGGUAAUACGUAGGGGGCAAGCUUUAUCCGGAUUUACUGGGUGUAAAGGGAGCGUAGAGGGUAUAGCAAGUCUGAAGUGAAAGCCCAAGGCUAAACCAUGGGACUGCUUUUGAAACUGUUAAGCUAGCGUGCGGGAGAGGUAAGAGGAAUGCCUGGUGUAGCGGUGAAAUGCGUAGAUAUUAGGAAGAACACCAGUGGCGAAGGCAGCUUACUGGACAGGAACUGACGUUGAGGCUCGAAAGCGUGGGGAGCAAACAGGAUUAGAUACCCCGGUAGUC
rnacentral:rRNA from 1 species